UUUGGACAAGCUACUAAGGGUCCGAGGUGGAUGCCUAGGCACCAAGAGCCGAAGAAGGACGUGGCUACCUGCGAUAAGCGACGGGAAGCUGGAAGCGAGCGUUGAUCCGUCGAUUUCCGAAUGGGGCAACCCGGCUGGAGUAAUGUCCAGUCACUCCUGGUUGAACACAUAGACCAGGUAGAGGGCACCCGGGGAACUGAAACAUCUUAGUACCCGGAGGAAAAGAACAUUCCGUCAGUAGAGGCGAUCGAAAGCGGAGCAGCCUAAACCAUGCGCGUGCCAAGGCGGCAGCCGUUGCGCGCGUGGCGUUGUGGGAUCGUUCGGUGAGCUCUGCCGAGCUCACGCGGAGUUACAAAACCGGCGUCUAGCCGAAGUUGGUGGAAACCAACGCCACAGAGGGUGAGAGCCCUGUAGGCGAAAGGCGACCGGUCUCCGGAGCGACACCCGAGUACCCCGGGACACGCGGAAUCCUGGGGGAAUCCACGCAGACCACUGCGUAAGGCUAAAUACUUUUGGUGACCGAUAGUGAAGAGUACCGUGAGGGAAAGGUGAAAAGAACCCCGGAAGGGGAGUGAAAUAGAACCUGAAACCUUGGACCUACAAACUGUCAAAGGCCCAGGUGUAUUUGCGCAAGCGAAUGCACGGGCUGAUGGCGUGCCUUUUGUAGAAUGAGCCGGCGAGUUACUGUACGUGGCAAGGCUAAGGGGGUGACACCCGGAGCCGCAGCGAAAGCGAGUCUGAAUAGGGCGUUGCCACGCAAGUGGUGGAAGUCGCGUGCAGUAGACCCGAAACCUGGUGACCUACCCUUGGUCAGGGUGAAGCGAGGGUAAAACCUCGUGGAGGCCCGAACCGACUUAGGUUACAAACUGAGCGGAUGAACUGAGGGUAGCGGUGAAAUGCCAAUCGAACCAGGAGAUAGCUGGUUCUCCUCGAAAUGCCUUUAGGGGCAGCGUUGUUGUGGGCUGUCGCAGGUAGAGCACUGAAUGGGCUAGGGGCGGUUCCCCCGUUACCAAACCCAACCAAACUCCGAAUGGCGGCAGGUUAUACAACAGCAGUGAGACCGUGGGGGCUAAGCUUCACGGUCAAAAGGGAAACAACCCAGACCAUCGGCUAAGGUCCCUAAAUCGAGACUAAGUGGCAAAGGAGGUCACUUUGCUUAGACAACCAGGAGGUGGGCUUAGAGGCAGCCACCCUUUAAAGAGUGCGUAACAGCUCACUGGUCGAGUGAAGUGGCGCCGAAAAUGAUCGGGGCUCAAGUCUCGUACCGAAGCCAUGGAGCGCGCAGCAAUGCGCGUUGGUAGAGGAGCGUUGUGCGGGCGGUGAAGCAUGAACGUAAGUCCGUGUGGAGCGCGCACAAGUGCGAAUGCCGGCACAAGUAGCGUAAAGGUCGGUGAGAAACCGGCCCGCCGUAAAUCUAAGGUUUCCUGGGCAACGUUAAUCGUCCCAGGGUUAGUCGGGCCUAAGCCGAGGCCGAAAGGCGUAGGCGAUGGACAACUGGUGCAUAUUCCAGUACCACCUCGCGUUCGUUACCACCGAUGGAGGGACGAAGGAGGGUAGGUCAACCGGUCGAUUGGAUGUGGCCGGCCAAGGCUGUAGGUAGCCCGGAUAGGCAAAUCCGUUCGGGCGUUAAUCUGAGAGCCGAUGGGGAGCUCCGGGCAACCGGAGCGAAGUGACUGAUCCCAAGCUUCCGAGAAAAGCUUCUAGGGAGAAUGCAGGUGCCCGUACCGCAAACCGACGCUGGUAGAUGGGAAGAGGAUUCCAAGGCGAUCGAGAGAACUCUGCCUAAGGAACUCGGCAAAAUAGCCCCGUAACUUCGGGAGAAGGGGUGCCCUUGGCCGUGUAGGAACUUGCUUCCGAAGCGGUCGAGGGUCGCAGCUAAGAGGCUCAACCGACUGUUUACUAAAAACACAGGUCUCUGCGAAACCGAAAGGUGACGUAUAGGGGCUGACGCCUGCCCGGUGCCGGAAGGUUAAGGAGAGGGCUGAGAGGCCUGAACUGAAGCCCCGGUAAACGGCGGCCGUAACUAUAACGGUCCUAAGGUAGGAAAAAAGCUGCCUUACCCAUGGGUGACCAUGGGGUUGAAAAGCAUCUGGCUAUUUGCUGGAAAAACUGGUGUAUCCGCCGGUACUCGUCGCGUGCAGACGCGCGCGUCAGUGACAAUCCGAGCGGUGCAGAAAAUCAGCAGGAAAGGCUGGCUCCCUUUGUUUGGAAGUCAGAAUCCUCAGAGACCAUACGCCAGACAUCUCGGCACAGCUGAGAUGAAGAUAUGGUCCCAUCUGCAUGGCGACAUGCAGCGAGCGGUGGAACGCCACCAUCGUUCACUCAAUCAAACGUGAUUGGGAAGAGCAUCAGCGAAAUUCCUUGUCGGGUAAGUUCCGACCCGCACGAAUGGCGUAACGAGUUGAGCGCUGUCUCGGGCAGAGACUCGGCGAAACUGCAAUACCUGUGAAGAUACAGGUUACCCGCGGCAGGACGGAAAGACCCCGUGGAGCUUUACUGCAACUUGGCAUUGAAUUGGGGCUUAGCCUGUAGAGGAUAGCUGGGAGACUAUGAAGCUCGGGCGCCAGCUCGGGUGGAGUCAACCUUGGAAUACCAGCCUGGUUAAGUCUCAGUUCUAACAGGGACCCUGAUCGGGUUUCUGGACAGUGCCUGGUAGGCAGUUUGACUGGGGCGGUCGCCUCCCAAAGAGUAACGGAGGCGCCCAAAGGUUCCCUCAGCCUGGAUGGAAAUCAGGCAUAGAGUGCAAUGGCACAAGGGAGCUUGACUGUGAGACUUACUAGUCGAGCAGGGACGAAAGUCGGGCAUAGUGAUCCGACGGCCCGGAGUGGAAUGGCCGUCGCUCAACGGAUAAAAGUUACCCCGGGGAUAACAGGCUUAUCGGGCCCAAGAGUUCACAUCGACGGCCCGGUUUGGCACCUCAAUUUGGGGUGACACGGCAGAAAUGCCGUGCAAGAAUCGGCUUAUAACGGUGAACCCCUAACCGCUGCUCAGCGGUGGGCGAUACCGUGGGAAGUCUGUCGGAAGCCGGCCAGCUGAAUGUUUCAGAUGGCUUCCGCAAGUGACCCCGUAACGACUGUGGUCGGAAACGACCACGGUGGCGGCUCCUGCCCAGCAGGUUGGGCAAAUUCAUAGCCGUCACAACACGCCGACCCCUCGCUUUGGUCGAGCAGGGUGAAGAUAUAGUCUGCGCUGCCGGAAACGGCAGAGAACGCGCGAUGUCGGCUCGUCGCAUCCUGGGGCUGGAGUCGGUCCCAAGGGUUGGGCUGUUCGCCCAUUAAAGCGGUACGCGAGCUGGGUUUAGAACGUCGUGAGACAGUUCGGUCCCUAUCCGCCGUGGGCGUAGGAGACUUGAGGAGGUUUGACCCUAGUACGAGAGGACCGGGUUGAACGGACCGCUAGUGUACCGGUUGUCGCGCCAGCGGCAGCGCCGGGUAGCCAUGUCCGGUUUGGAUAAGCGCUGAAAGCAUCUAAGCGCGAAGCCAGCUUCGAGAUAAGGUCUCCCACCGGAUAACCGGGUAAGGCCCCUGGUAGACCACCAGGUUGAUAGGCCGCAGGUGUAAGAGGAGUGAUCCUUUGAGCUGAGCGGUACUAAUAGGCCGAGGGCUUGUCCACCUAUAAC
rnacentral:rRNA from 1 species